GCAUAUAAUUAAGCGGAGGAAAAGAAAAUAACUAUGAUACCCCUAGUAACGGCGAGUGAAGCGGGUCAAGCUCAUCAUGUGAAUCUGUGCUCUGCACCGAAUUGUGAUCUAUAGAAGCAUUGUCGGUCGGCAUUUCGGGUUAAGUCUCUUGGAAAAGAGCAGCUGAGAGGGUGACACUCCCGUUCUUACCUGGAAUGUGCGAUCAUGGCACGUGCCUUCGACGAGUCGAGUUGCUUGGGAUUGCAGCUCAAAGUUGGUGGUAAAUUCCAUCUAAAGCUAAAUAUCGGUGGGAGACCGAUAGCGUACAAGUACCGUGAGGGAAAGAUGCAAAGAACUUUGAAAAGAGAGUUAAAGAGUACCUGAAAUUGCUGAAAGGGAAGCGAAGGAAACCAGUGCUGUUUCGUAUCAUUCUUCUUCUGCUGCUUGCGGCAGGAGCGCUGUGAUGCGGAGUCGGUCAGCAUGGGUUUGAAUCGGGACAAAUAGCUUUACAGGAGGCAGCUCAUUUACUGAGCGAUUACUGUUUAGUGUUGUCUUGGUUUGGAUCGAGGCUAGUCACUUGUGCUCGUGAUGCUGACAAAAUGGUUUUCUUUACCCCG
rnacentral:rRNA from 1 species